ensembl:lncRNA
CUCUUCACCUGCAGACUCUGGUGCCUUCCAUCUGCCACUCCUGGGAGGCUGUGCACCCCAAAUUGGAUCAAACGCCUGGUGGAUGUUUUACCGACUGAGCUAGGAGGGAAGCCAGACAAUAAAAGCGGCAGACAUCUGGAGGUAGAGAUAACAGGUGAUGAGCAAGUACCCAUCUGAAGCAUCGCCUGUCCCUCAGCUCAGGUCAGACCUCUCCUCCCUCAGUGCCUGUUUCCUGGCCUGCAAAACCAGGACAACGUUAAAUCACUUCACUUAUUCCCUCCAUGAAUGAGUAUAGAGUCAGGCCCAGAGACUGGGGCCAAGAGCUAGGAAAACGAAAUACUACAGCCCUUCAACUAAAAGCACCUGUGCCUCCCUAUUGAGCCGUCUUCUGAGCUUGCAGAGGGCCUUCACGUCUGACCCCACCCAGCCCGGGAGGGAGGAAACCUCCAGAUGAAAACUCCAAGGAUGCGGGGCUUCAGUGCUCUGUCCACAGCUCCAUAACCACUCAUGGCUGGACCGGGCUAUGGAAUUGGGUCUCCAAGGCAUGUAGUUAUAGUGAGAAGACGGCCAUCUGUGAGGAAGUGGGUUCUCACCAGACACCCAACCUGCGGCACCUUGACCGUGGACUUCCAUCCUGCUCAUCGGAACCUGUGUCCUUGGAGAACUGAGCUUCCAUGCGUGAAAUCCCACUCUCCUAAGAUGACAUCCCCGAGAGACCAUGUGGCAAGCUCUGGAUGGCAGCCCCCGCCACGCCCAUGCUUCAGAGAGAGACCUGAUGAAAGCCAGAGUAGUGUCUGAUACCUGCAACUUAAUCUGCCUGGGGCAGAGUCCACUCACCCUGCUUAGAUAACUGAUCAAACCUGAUGCUGAUCCAUUUCAGAGACCGCAUCCCAGCCUUUUCACUGAUUCUCUGUGCUCCCCAGAACUCUUCCAGUAAAUGCCCUUUGCUUUGCCAAAAUUGCUUUCUGUUGCUUGCAACCAGAAAACCCCAACCGAAAUAAAAGUUAAGUUGCAAAUUACAAGGAUAUGUUCUAUUUAAUCCCAUGUUUGAAGAACUCACUUUUCAGAUGAUCAACAGUGUAGAAAAGAAUGAUGAUUUCCAUAGGAUGGAAAGAUGUAAUUAGGAAUUUUUUUUUUUUGGUCUUUAGGAGUGGCUUUUUUGUAUUGAAAAGAAUAUUCAGGAGCUACUUUGUACUUAAAGUUAAUACUCAGGUAAUUCAAAGCCUUGGUUUUCUUGAAGUUUUUAAGUUCAAUUUAGAAAUAAGUUCUAUUUAUAAAUCUUUCAAAUUUUCACAAAUGAUUUUAAGAACACUUUCAUAAUUUAAUUGAAUUCCUUUAAAUAUUUUUAGCUGUACUGAUAAAGCCAGCACACUCAAUUUCCUUUUUAAAGUAAGUCAGUGGCUGGCAAACCGAACAACUUUUCCAAGUACCUAAGAAAUUCUUAGAAAUCUAAUAAAAUUUAUCGAGAUGAUGAUUAAACUCUUCUACAUAUUCCUAUGUUGUUUAAAGACUAAAGCUGUCUUGGACAUUUCAGCUUAAAAUCUAGAUGAACUGCUCAGUCCUCUAAUAAGCCAAAUUC